rnacentral:rRNA from 1 species
UGCAGUCGACGGAGACACGGAGAAAUUUAUUUCACUGUGUAUCUUAGUGGCGAACGGGUGAGUAACGCGUGGGUAAUCUACCCCCGAAUUGGGGAUAACAUUGCGAAAGCGAUGCUAAUACCGAAUGAUAUCUUAAGUACCCCGGUAUUUAAGAUCAAAGGUGGCCUCUACAUGUAAGCUAUUGUUUGGGGAUGAGCCCGCGUACCAUUAGCUUGUUGGUAGGGUAACGGCCUACCAAGGCUGCGAUGGUUAGCUGGUCUGAGAGGAUGAUCAGCCACACUGGAACUGACACACGGUCCAGACUCCUACGGGAGGCAGCAGUGAGGAAUUUUGCGCAAUGGGGGAAACCCUGACGCAGCAACGCCGCGUGAGUGAUGAAGGCUUUCGGGUCGCAAAGCUCUGUCAAGUGGGAAGAAAACACGUGGUGCUAAUAUCAUCUUGUGCUGACGGUACCACUGAAGGAAGCACCGGCUAACUCCGUGCCAGCAGCCGCGGUAAUACG